UCGAGAAUCUUUCACAAUGGGGGAAACCCUGAUGGAGCGACGCCGCGUGGAGGUUAAGGUCUUCGGAUUGUAAACUCCUGUCAUGCGAGAACAAAGCCCGCAAGGGUGUGAUAGUAUCGCAAGAGGAAGAGACGGCUAACUCUGUGCCAGCAGCCGCGGUAAUACAGAGGUCUCAAGCGUUGUUCGGAAUUACUGGGCGUAAAGGGUGCGCAGGCCGCGCGGGCAGUCAAAUGUGUAAUUCAGGGGCUCAACCCCUGCACUGCGCUUGAUACUUCCGCGCUAGAACCUUGGAGAGGAGUCUGGAAUUUUCGGUGUAGCAGUGAAAUGCGUGGAUAUCGAAAAGAACACUAAGGGCGUAGGCAAGACUCUGGACAAGUGUUGACGCUCAAGCACGAAGGCUAGGGUAGCGAACGGGAUUAGAUACCCCUGUAGUCC
rnacentral:rRNA from 1 species